AAAGAUUGGACUGGUUUGGUUUGGUUUUGUUGUAAUAUAUGUAAAUUUGUAUUAUUGGUGUGUAAAUUGUAAGAUUGAAUAUUGAGUAAUUAAAAUAAUAGAUUAUUUUUAUACAAAUGUAAUAUAAUAUGUUUGGUGCAUAAAAUAUAUUGUUUGAGACUUUAUGCAAUAUUAAUUAGUGUAUAUAGAUGAUUGAUCCAACUUUAAAAAUUUAGGCCCAUGAGUCAAAGAAUCAGAGGUAAUAUAGAGUUGGGCCGCAGAAAUUAUUAUAGACCCAUUAUGAAAUGUUCUUUAAUUCAGCCCAUGAUUCCGUUUUUUUUUUAUUUUAUUAAAGUUUUUACUCUCUUUUUUUCUUUGGACAGCUAAAUAUCUAAGACGACAUUUUUUGUCUUUUCGGUGGAAAAUAAGAAACCCUAUGUUCUUCAAAGUCUAAUGUUCGGUCUGAGAAUCGCUGAGAAAUUUGUUCAAUCAUCAACCUAUUAGGUCUGUGUUUAUGAUCUUUCCAUCUCGAAAUCGGAAUUCUUUAUUGAGAUUAUUACAAAGAUGAUGAUGUUGCCAAUAGAAGACGUUUUACAAAGCUAAGUUCUCUGUUACGAUUAUUAUAUAACAAUAGAUGUUUUAAAUAUAUAUGGUGCUGAUGAUAGAUAAUUCUAUGUUUACAGAACAUGCAACAUCUUUAAAGAAGGCAAAUUUGAUGUCGUUAAAAGCCAGUCCAGAUUCUGAAAGCACUGAUAAAGGCUUGACGUCAGCAAGGUUGGUGAAUGCAAGCUCAGCAGCCAUUUUCUUAGUGGGAUUGUGAAGAGAAAAGGUGAAAGCUUAAGAAGGUAUCACGGGCCAAUAAACUGAAAGCCCAUUAUGCUUUAAAUGGUUGGAUCCGUGUGUAUUAUAAAAUAUUGGCCCGUGAUCCACAUGAGUAACCAGAUAGAUAUCCGAGUAAUUAUCCAAGAUCCGCGUCCCUUUGAUUGUCAAAAGUCGAAUAUACCCCUCUUUGUCAUUUUUGGUAUUCACGUGAAAUCCUUAAAUUGUAAUGGCAUUCUUUAUAAUUUUUUACACUUUUUAAGGUUAUUUUUCAGGUAAUCCUUCCCAA